rnacentral:rRNA from 1 species
UACAGAGGAUGCAAGCGUUAUCCGGAAUUAUUGGGCGUAAAGAGCUCGUAGGCGGCCGGUUGCGUCUGCUGUGAAAUCCCGGGGCUUAACCCCGGGCGUGCAGUGGAUACGGGCCGGCUGGAGGCAGGCAGGGGAGAAUGGAAUUCCCGGUGUAGCGGUGAAAUGCGCAGAUAUCGGGAGGAACACCGGUGGCGAAGGCGGUUCUCUGGGCCUGUACUGACGCUGAGGAGCGAAAGCGUGGGGAGCGAACAGG